UGAGUAACACGUGAGUGACCUGCCUUUUAGACUGGAACAACUUACCGAAAGGUGAGCUAAUGCCGGAUGAGUUAUAUAAGUGCAUGUUUAUAUAGGAAAAGUUGGGGAGACCUGACGCUGAAAGAUGGACUCGCGUCCCAUUAGCUAGUUGGUAGGGUAAUGGCCUACCAAGGCGACGAUGGGUAGCCGGCCUGAGAGGGCGGCCGGCCACACUGGGACUGAGACACGGCCCAGACUCCUACGGAAGGCAGCAG
rnacentral:rRNA from 1 species